rnacentral:tRNA from 2 species
GCGGGCAUGGCGGAAUUGGCAGACGCACUAGAUUCAGGUUCUAGCGGGAAACCGUGGGGGUUCGAAUCCCUUUGCCCGCACCA